rnacentral:rRNA from 1 species
AAUAGACAUGCAAGUCGAGCGAACAGAAGGGAGCUUGCUCCCGGAUGUUAGCGGCGGACGGGUGAGUAACACGUGGGUAACCUGCCUGUAAGACUGGGAUAACUCCGGGAAACCGGAGCUAAUACCGGAUAGUUCCUUGAACCGCAUGGUUCAAGGAUGAAAGACGGUUUCGGCUGUCACUUACAGAUGGACCCGCGGCGCAUUAGCUAGUUGGUGGGGUAAUGGCUCACCAAGGCGACGAUGCGUAGCCGACCUGAGAGGGUGAUCGGCCACACUGGGACUGAGACACGGCCCAGACUCCUACGGGAGGCAGCAGUAGGGAAUCUUCCGCAAUGGACGAAAGUCUGACGGAGCAACGCCGCGUGAGUGAUGAAGGUUUUCGGAUCGUAAAGCUCUGUUGUUAGGGAAGAACAAGUGCGAGAGUAACUGCUCGCACCUUGACGGUACCUAACCAGAAAGCCACGGCUAACUACGUGCCAGCAGCCGCGGUAAUACGUAGGUGGCAAGCGUUGUCCGGAAUUAUUGGGCGUAAAGGGCUCGCAGGCGGUUUCUUAAGUCUGAUGUGAAAGCCCCCGGCUCAACCGGGGAGGGUCAUUGGAAACUGGGAAACUUGAGUGCAGAAGAGGAGAGUGGAAUUCCACGUGUAGCGGUGAAAUGCGUAGAGAUGUGGAGGAACACCAGUGGCGAAGGCGACUCUCUGGUCUGUAACUGACGCUGAGGAGCGAAAGCGUGGGGAGCGAACAGGAUUAGAUACCCUGGUAGUCCACGCCGUAAACGAUGAGUGCUAAGUGUUUAGGGGGUUUCCGCCCCUUAGUGCUGCAGCUAACGCAUUAAGCACUCCGCCUGGGGAGUACGGUCGCAAGACUGAAACUCAAAGGAAUUGACGGGGGCCCGCACAAGCGGUGGAACAUGUGGUUUAAUUCGAAGCAACGCGAAGAACCUUACCAGGUCUUGACAUCCUCUGACACCCUAGA